rnacentral:rRNA from 1 species
GAUGAACGCUGGCGGCGUGCCUAAUACAUGCAAGUCGAGCGAACAGACGAGGAGCUUGCUCCUCUGACGUUAGCGGCGGACGGGUGAGUAACACGUGGAUAACCUACCUAUAAGACUGGGAUAACUUCGGGAAACCGGAGCUAAUACCGGAUAAUAUAUUGAACCGCAUGGUUCAAUAGUGAAAGACGGUUUUGCUGUCACUUAUAGAUGGAUCCGCGCCGCAUUAGCUAGUUGUUAAGGUAACGGUUUACCAAGGCGACGAUGCGUAGCCGACCUGAGAGGGUGAUCGGCCACACUGGAACUGAGACACGGUCCAGACUCCUACGGGAGGCAGCAGUAGGGAAUCUUCCGCAAUGGGCGAAAGCCUGACGGAGCAACGCCGCGUGAGUGAUGAAGGUUUUCGGAUCGUAAAACUCUGUUAUUAGGGAAGAACAAAUGUGUAAGUAACUAUGCACGUCUUGACGGUACCUAAUCAGAAAGCCACGGCUAACUACGUG